rnacentral:rRNA from 1 species
GACAACGCUGGCGGCGCGCCUAACACAUGCAAGUCGAACGGAGAUCAUUUGGUAGAAGUUUUCGGAUGGACACCGAGUGAUCUUAGUGGCGAACGGGUGAGUAACGCGUGAGCAAUCUGCCUCAGAGUGGGGGACAACAGUUGGAAACGACUGCUAAUACCGCAUAAGCCCACGGUACCGCAUGGUACUGAGGGAAAAGGAUUUAUUCGCUUUAGGAUGGACUCGCGUCCAAUUAGCUAGUUGGUGAGGUUAAACGGGCCCACCAAGGCGACGAUUGGUAGCCGGACUGAGAGGUUGAACGGCCACAUUGAGACUGAGACACGGUCCAGACUCCUACGGGAGGCAGCAGUAGGGAAUAUUGCACAAUGGAGGAAACUCUGAUGCAGCCAUGCCGCGUGUGUGAAGAAGGCCUUCGGGUUGUAAAGCACUUUCGGAGGGGAGGAAAAGAUGACGUUACCCUCAGAAGAAGCACCGGCUAACUCCGUG